CACAUGAAUGCUGUAGGGCUAUGAACCACCAGUACGUAGUGAAUCCCAAUCAAGGACCCACCACAGACAAGGUGACUUAGGAAGCAGGUAACAGGGAAGAGGGUGCUGAUUGGCCAAAGAUCUAGUCACAGAGGUUCAGGCAUUGGGCAGUCCACCCUGUCCUCCUAAUCAGUGCCUCGGCCUGGAAAUCAGCAUUUAUAGCCUUGAUGUGAAAGAAGACAGUGAUAUUGAGUGCCUGAUAUUUCCUAUCAUUUCCUAACAACUCUUCACUCCAUAAAAAAGGGAACUGCAUCUCAAGUAAGGGAAGCCCCUUAUUAAGGUCCAAUAUCUAAGAAGUUGCAGAGUUGGGGCUCAAAUCCAGCUCUGUACAACCCCAAAGCCUAUGCCAAGGCAGAAGGAGGCCAAGUUGCAUCCAUUCCAAGUUCCAACUGUGUAGCAAGGUGGCGAGACUCCCUGCGUUUGAAUCCCAGCUCUGCCAUCUACUAGCUGUGCAGCCUCAGGCCAGUGGCAGAGCCUCUCUGAUCCUCAGUCUUCCCAGCUCUAAAAUGGGAAUAAGAAUCGUUCCUGCCUCACAGGACAGUUGUGAGGGUUAAAUGGUGCCUAGCCCAGGUUCUGCAAGAUUUUACUUCUAAUGGAAAGCACCUACUAUCUAUGUGGAUAAUAAAAGAUGGUGAGACAGGACUGCUGUGCUCAUAGGGCUGUCCCGCUCAGAGAGACAGUGAGACUGAGCCAGAUACCAGGAAACAUGGAUUUAAGUACAGGCAUUUGUUCCCUACACGGACAGCUGGUUAUGAACCGUGUCCCGGAUGCUGUGCGCUGCGUCAGGCACCGUGAGCAAAACAGAGAUGCAGUGAAUGUGGAGGUAAGGGAGGGAGAGGGAAGAGCUCCAAAGACAACA